GAACGCAUCUUGCGCUCCUUGGUAUUCUGAGGAGCAUGCCUGUUCGAGCGUCAUUUCACCACUCAAGCCUGGCUUGGUGUUGGGCGACGUCCCCUUUGGGGACGCGCCUCGAAACGCUCGGCGGCGUGGCACCGGCUUUAAGCGUAGCAGAAUCUUUCGCUUUGGAAGUCGGGGCCCCGUCUGCCGGAAGACCUACUCGCAAGGUUGACCUCGGAUCAGGCAGGGAUACCCGCUGAACUUAAG
rnacentral:misc_RNA from 1 species